rnacentral:rRNA from 1 species
GAUGAACGCUGGCGGCGUGCCUAAUACAUGCAAGUCGAACGCUGGAAAUCUAGCUUGCUAGAUUGAAGGAGUGGCGAACGGGUGAGUAAUACAUAAGCAACCUACCCACGAAGACUGGGAUAAUCUCUGGAAACGGGGACUAAUACCGGAUAGGUAAUCGGAAGGCAUCUUCUGAUUAUUAAAGGUUAAAAACACUGGUGGAUGGGCUUAUGGCGCAUUAGUUAGUUGGUGAGGUAACGGCCCACCAAGACGAUGAUGCGUAGCCGGCCUGAGAGGGUGAACGGCCACAUGGGGACUGAGACACGGCCCAGACUCCUACGGGAGGCAGCAGUAGGGAAUGUUCGGCAAUGGGGGAAACCCUGACCGAGCAACGCCGCGUGAGUGAUGACGGCCUUCGGGUUGUAAAGCUCUGUUGUAAGGGAAGAACGGUAGAUAGAGAAUAUCUAAAUGACGGUACCUUACCAGAAAGCCACGGCUAACUACGUG